rnacentral:rRNA from 1 species
AUUGAACGCUGGCGGCAUGCCUUACACAUGCAAGUCGAACGGUAACGCGGGGCAACCUGGCGACGAGUGGCGAACGGGUGAGUAAUACAUCGGAACGUGCCCAGUAGUGGGGGAUAGCCCGGCGAAAGCCGGAUUAAUACCGCAUACGACCUACGGGUGAAAGCAGGGGAUCGCAAGACCUUGCGCCAUUGGAGCGGCCGAUGUCAGAUUAGGUUGUUGGUGGGGUAAAGGCCUACCAAGCCGACGAUCUGUAGCUGGUCUGAGAGGACGACCAGCCACACUGGGACUGAGACACGGCCCAGACUCCUACGGGAGGCAGCAUGGGGAAUUUUGGACAAUGGGCGCAAGCCUGAUCCAGCCAUGCCGCGUGCGGGAAGAAGGCCUUCGG